rnacentral:rRNA from 1 species
GUCGAACGGCAGCACGGGGGUAACCCUGGUGGCGAGUGGCGAACGGGUGAGUAAUACAUCGGAACGUGUCCUGUAGUGGGGGAUAGCCCGGCGAAAGCCGGAUUAAUACCGCAUACGCUCUACGGAGGAAAGGGGGGGAUCUUAGGACCUCUCGCUACAGGGGCGGCCGAUGGCAGAUUAGCUAGUUGGUGGGGUAAAGGCCUACCAAGGCGACGAUCUGUAGCUGGUCUGAGAGGACGACCAGCCACACUGGGACUGAGACACGGCCCAGACUCCUACGGGAGGCAGCAGUGGGGAAUUUUGGACAAUGGGCGAAAGCCUGAUCCAGCAAUGCCGCGUGUGUGAAGAAGGCCUUCGGGUUGUAAAGCACUUUUGUCCGGAAAAAAAUCCCCUGGGAUAAUACCCCGGGGGGAUGACGGUACCGGAAGAAUAAGCACCGGCUAACUACGUGCCAGCAGCCGCGGUAAUACGUAGGGUGCAAGCGUUAAUCGGAAUUACUGGGCGUAAAGCGUGCGCAGGCGGUUCGCUAAGACAGAUGUGAAAUCCCCGGGCUUAACCUG